GGAAUAAUAGUUUCAACAGGGGGACUCGCCUGGGACAAACAAAGUUCAGCAGGGGAAUAGAAAAGACUCAAGAAUAACUGUCAUUUGGGAAGAAACCAAUGUAUAGUUAGAGAAUGACCACAACAAAGACUCAACGGGGAUGACUUAAUAAGGAAAGACUCCACCGGGGGAAGAAAACAUCAAAGGGGAAAAACCAUCUCCUCUAGGGGAG
rnacentral:lncRNA from 1 species